rnacentral:rRNA from 1 species
GUAAGGAAUAUUGGUCAAUGGGCGGAAGCCUGAACCAGCCAUGCCGCGUGCAGGACGACGGCCCUACGGGUUGUAAACUGCUUUUGCCCGGGAAUAACCCCCCGCUCUUGAGCGGGGCUGAACGUACCGGGAGAAUAAGGAUCGGCUAACUCCGUGCCAGCAGCCGCGGUAAUACGGAGGAUCCGAGCGUUAUCCGGAUUUAUUGGGUUUAAAGGGUGCGUAGGCGGCCUGUUAAGUCAGGGGUGAAAUACGGCAGCUCAACUGUCGCAGUGCACUUGAUACUGACGGGCUUGAAUACCGGUGAAGGCGGCGGAAUGAGACAAGUAGCGGUGAAAUGCAUAGAUAUGUCUCAGAACCCCGAUUGCGAAGGCAGCUGCCUAACCGGCGAUUGACGCUGAUGCACGAAAGCGUGGGGAUCGAACAGGAUUAGAUACCCGGGUAGUCC